rnacentral:rRNA from 1 species
UACACUCCUGCGGGAGGCAGCAGUGGGGAAUAUUGCACAAUGGGCGCAAGCCUGAUGCAGCCAUGCCGCGUGUAUGAAGAAGGCCUUCGGGUUGUAAAGUACUUUCAGCGGGGAGGAAGGCAAUACGGUUAAUAACCGUGUUGAUUGACGUUACCCGCAGAAGAAGCACCGGCUAACUCCGUGCCAGCAGCCGCGGUAAUACGGAGGGUGCAAGCGUUAAUCGGAAUUACUGGGCGUAAAGCGCACGCAGGCGGUCUGUCAAGUCGGAUGUGAAAUCCCCGGGCUCAACCUGAGAACUGCAUUCGAAACAGGCAGGCUUGAGUCUUGUAGAGGGGGGUAGAAUUCCAGGUGUAGCGGUGAAAUGCGUAGAGAUCUGGAGGAAUACCGGUGGCGAAGGCGGCCCCCUGGACAAAGACUGACGCUCAGGUGCGAAAGCGUGGGGAGCAAACAGGAUUAGAUACCCGUGUAGUCCCAU